UUCUGUAUUUCUUGUUUUUAUCUCAGAAACAGUGGCUAUACAACUAAAUAUUAGUUCAGUGAUUCACACGAAAGCUAAAUCUUCAAGCAUAUUUCAGUUUACACAGUAAUAGUUUGUAAAGAAAAAUGCAGAUUUUUUUUUUUUUUGAA